rnacentral:rRNA from 1 species
CGUUCUGUAAGCCUGUGAAGGUGUGCUGUGAGGCAUGCUGGAGGUAUCAGAAGUGCGAAUGCUGACAUAAGUAACGAUAAAGCGGGUGAAAAGCCCGCUCGCCGGAAGACCAAGGGUUCCUGUCCAACGUUAAUCGGGGCAGGGUGAGUCGACCCCUAAGGCGAGGCCGAAAGGCGUAGUCGAUGGGAAACAGGUUAAUAUUCCUGUACUUGGUGUUACUGCGAAGGGGGGACGGAGAAGGCUAUGUUGGCCGGGCGACGGUUGUCCCGGU